UACGUAGGGGGCAAGCGUUGUCCGGAUUUAUUGGGCGUAAAGAGCGUGUAGGCGGCCAGGGAGGUCCGUUGUGAAAACUCGAGGCUCAACCUCGAGACGCCGAUGGAAACCCCCUGGCUAGAGUCCGGAAGAGGAGAGUGGAAUUCCUGGUGUAGUGGUGAAAUGCGUAGAUAUCGGGAGGAACACCAGUGGCGAAGGCGGCUACCUGGCCCACUCUUGACGCUGAGGCGCGAAAGCUAGGGGAGCAAACGGG
rnacentral:rRNA from 1 species